rnacentral:rRNA from 2 species
UUAAGCGACUAAGCGUACACGGUGGAUGCCCUGGCAGUCAGAGGCGAUGAAGGACGUGCUAAUCUGCGAUAAGCGUCGGUGAGGUGAUAUGAACCGUUAUAACCGGCGAUUUCCGAAUGGGGAAACCCAGUGUGAUUCGUCACACUAUCAUUAACUGAAUCCAUAGGUUAAUGAGGCGAACCGGGGGAACUGAAACAUCUAAGUACCCCGAGGAAAAGAAAUCAACCGAGAUUCCCCCAGUAGCGGCGAGCGAACGGGGAGGAGCCCAGAGCCUGAAUCAGUGUGUGUGUUAGUGGAAGCGUCUGGAAAGGCGUGCGAUACAGGGUGACAGCCCCGUACACAAAAAUGCACAUAUUGUGAGCUCGAUGAGUAGGGCGGGACACGUGGUAUCCUGUCUGAAUAUGGGGGGACCAUCCUCCAAGGCUAAAUACUCCUGACUGACCGAUAGUGAACCAGUACCGUGAGGGAAAGGCGAAAAGAACCCCGGCGAGGGGAGUGAAAAAGAACCUGAAACCGUGUACGUACAAGCAGUGGGAGCCUCUUAAUGGGGUGACUGCGUACCUUUUGUAUAAUGGGUCAGCGACUUAUAUUCUGUAGCAAGGUUAACCGAAUAGGGGAGCCGAAGGGAAACCGAGUCUUAACUGGGCGUUAAGUUGCAGGGUAUAGACCCGAAACCCGGUGAUCUAGCCAUGGGCAGGUUGAAGGUUGGGUAACACUAACUGGAGGACCGAACCGACUAAUGUUGAAAAAUUAGCGGAUGACUUGUGGCUGGGGGUGAAAGGCCAAUCAAACCGGGAGAUAGCUGGUUCUCCCCGAAAGCUAUUUAGGUAGCGCCUCGUGAAUUCAUCUCCGGGGGUAGAGCACUGUUUCGGCAAGGGGGUCAUCCCGACUUACCAACCCGAUGCAAACUGCGAAUACCGGAGAAUGUUAUCACGGGAGACACACGGCGGGUGCUAACGUCCGUCGUGAAGAGGGAAACAACCCAGACCGCCAGCUAAGGUCCCAAAGUCAUGGUUAAGUGGGAAACGAUGUGGGAAGGCCCAGACAGCCAGGAUGUUGGCUUAGAAGCAGCCAUCAUUUAAAGAAAGCGUAAUAGCUCACUGGUCGAGUCGGCCUGCGCGGAAGAUGUAACGGGGCUAAACCAUGCACCGAAGCUGCGGCAGCGACACUAUGUGUUGUUGGGUAGGGGAGCGUUCUGUAAGCCUGUGAAGGUGGCCUGUGAGGGUUGCUGGAGGUAUCAGAAGUGCGAAUGCUGACAUAAGUAACGAUAAAGCGGGUGAAAAGCCCGCUCGCCGGAAGACCAAGGGUUCCUGUCCAACGUUAAUCGGGGCAGGGUGAGUCGACCCCUAAGGCGAGGCCGAAAGGCGUAGUCGAUGGGAAACAGGUUAAUAUUCCUGUACUUGGUGUUACUGCGAAGGGGGGACGGAGAAGGCUAUGUUGGCCGGGCGACGGUUGUCCCGGUUUAAGCGUGUAGGCUGGUUUUCCAGGCAAAUCCGGAAAAUCAAGGCUGAGGCGUGAUGACGAGGCACUACGGUGCUGAAGCGACAAAUGCCCUGCUUCCAGGAAAAGCCUCUAAGCAUCAGGUAACAUCAAAUCGUACCCCAAACCGACACAGGUGGUCAGGUAGAGAAUACCAAGGCGCUUGAGAGAACUCGGGUGAAGGAACUAGGCAAAAUGGUGCCGUAACUUCGGGAGAAGGCACGCUGAUAUGUAGGUGAAGCGACUUGCUCGUGGAGCUGAAAUCAGUCGAAGAUACCAGCUGGCUGCAACUGUUUAUUAAAAACACAGCACUGUGCAAACACGAAAGUGGACGUAUACGGUGUGACGCCUGCCCGGUGCCGGAAGGUUAAUUGAUGGGGUUAGCGGCAACGCGAAGCUCUUGAUCGAAGCCCCGGUAAACGGCGGCCGUAACUAUAACGGUCCUAAGGUAGCGAAAUUCCUUGUCGGGUAAGUUCCGACCUGCACGAAUGGCGUAAUGAUGGCCAGGCUGUCUCCACCCGAGACUCAGUGAAAUUGAACUCGCUGUGAAGAUGCAGUGUACCCGCGGCAAGACGGAAAGACCCCGUGAACCUUUACUAUAGCUUGACACUGAACAUUGAGCCUUGAUGUGUAGGAUAGGUGGGAGGCUUUGAAGUGUGGACGCCAGUCUGCAUGGAGCCGACCUUGAAAUACCACCCUUUAAUGUUUGAUGUUCUAACGUUGGCCCGUAAUCCGGGUUGCGGACAGUGUCUGGUGGGUAGUUUGACUGGGGCGGUCUCCUCCUAAAGAGUAACGGAGGAGCACGAAGGUUGGCUAAUCCUGGUCGGACAUCAGGAGGUUAGUGCAAUGGCAUAAGCCAGCUUGACUGCGAGCGUGACGGCGCGAGCAGGUGCGAAAGCAGGUCAUAGUGAUCCGGUGGUUCUGAAUGGAAGGGCCAUCGCUCAACGGAUAAAAGGUACUCCGGGGAUAACAGGCUGAUACCGCCCAAGAGUUCAUAUCGACGGCGGUGUUUGGCACCUCGAUGUCGGCUCAUCACAUCCUGGGGCUGAAGUAGGUCCCAAGGGUAUGGCUGUUCGCCAUUUAAAGUGGUACGCGAGCUGGGUUUAGAACGUCGUGAGACAGUUCGGUCCCUAUCUGCCGUGGGCGCUGGAGAACUGAGGGGGGCUGCUCCUAGUACGAGAGGACCGGAGUGGACGCAUCACUGGUGUUCGGGUUGUCAUGCCAAUGGCACUGCCCGGUAGCUAAAUGCGGAAGAGAUAAGUGCUGAAAGCAUCUAAGCACGAAACUUGCCCCGAGAUGAGUUCUCCCUGACCCUUUAAGGGUCCUGAAGGAACGUUGAAGACGACGACGUUGAUAGGCCGGGUGUGUAAGCGCAGCGAUGCGUUGAGCUAACCGGUACUAAUGAACCGUGAGGCUUAACCUU